AUGCUUGAAAUAUUGGACUUAAUAAUAUAUGAUGAAUUAGUGUUCAUAUGUCCAAGUACUAGAUUAUAUCAUCCUAUAGUAUGAUAACUUGUUACGAUUCUAAUGGAACCUUGUUCCAUGAAACCAUAUAAACUCCUUGGAGUACAUAGUGUCAAGAACAAGUAUCAUAUGUAUUAGAUGAUUAUUUUCACAUGUUAUUCUCAUAUGUUAUAUGUAUGUUGUUUUAUUCCGAAUCUCGACUCUAAACAUACUUGAACUUUAACCCUUAUACAUUCGGACUCUAAAUCUCUACUCGUCAACAAUUGGAUAAUCGGAAAGCAUAUGCAAACUUAGUUGAUGAUGACGAUGCUAUGAAAUGAAGUAGCAAUGAUGCCUAGAUACACACAUAGACGUUUAGGUUUAAUUGUUGUAUCAAUUUUGAUUAUGUUGUUAUGUAUUUCAUUUGAACUUGUCGUUAUUUGAAUUUCCUUGUAUUGUUGACAAUUUAGUUUAUGAAAUGAAAUUGGUUUAUUAAAUAUUGACGCAA
rnacentral:lncRNA from 1 species